rnacentral:ncRNA from 1 species
GACCCUAAAAAGUCCUUUAAACACAAAGGUUUGGUCCUAGCCUUGAAAUCAAUUAUUACUUAAUAUACACAUGCAAGUAUCCGCACCCCUGUGAAAACGCCCUUUACUCCCCCAUGGGACAAGGAGCUGGUAUCAGGCCCGAAAUUCUGCCCAAAACACCUAGCUAUGCCACACCCACAAGGGAACUCAGCAGUGAUUAACAUUAAGUAUAAGCGACAGCUUGACUUAGUUAAAGUAAAGAGAACCGGCUAAUCUGGUGCCAGCCGCCGCGGUUACACCAAGUGGUUCAAAUUGAUUUUUAUCGGCGUAAAGCGUGAUUAAAGUUCUAUACAAUUGCAGUUAAACAUAAAUUAAGCUGUGACACGCUUAUUUAUUUGAAAUUCAUAAACGAAAGUUACUUCAAUUAACCCCACUUGAACUCACGACAGUUAGGACACAAACUGGGAUUAGAUACCCCACUAUGCCUUAACCGUAAACUUUAACUUACUCUUUAAUCGCCAGGGAACUACGAGCAAAGCUUAAAACCCAAAGGACUUGACGGUACCCCACAUCCACCUAGAGGAGCCUGUCCUAUAAUCGAUAAUCCCCGCUUAACCUCACCACCUUUAGCUAUUCAGCCUGUAUACCUCCGUCGUCAGCUUACCACGUGAGCGAACAUUAGUGAGCUUAAUGUCUUUACAUCAAUACGUCAGGUCAAGGUGCAGCAUAUAAGGUGAGAAGAGAUGGGCUACACUUUCUAAAUUAGAAUACACGGAAAACUAUUCAUGAAACUUAGUUUGAAGGCGGAUUUAGAAGUAAAGAGAAAUAAGAGUGUUCUCUUUAACUUGGCACUGGGGUGUGUACACACCGCCCGUCACCCUCUUCAAAGCUAAUUUUAAGUUUUUAACUAUAUAUGCAAUAAUAGAAGAGGCAAGUCGUAACAUGGUAAGUAUACCGGAAGGUGUGCUUGGAAA